rnacentral:rRNA from 1 species
AUUUAAGUGGAGAGUUUGAUCCUGGCUCAGAGCGAACGCUAGCGGCGCGCCUAACACAUGCAAGUCGAGCGAGAAAGUGGGGGCAACUCCAUAAGUAGAGCGGCGAACGGGUGAGUAAUGCAUGGGUAAUCUACCCUUAAGACCGGGAUAACCUUCCGAAAGGAGGGCUAAUACCGGAUAAGACCACACAACUUUGUUGCGGGGUUAAAGACGGGGAUCCGCAAGGACCUGCAGCUUAUUGAUGAGCCCAUGUCCCAUCAGCUUGUUGGCGGGGUAACUGCCCACCAAGGCUAAGACGGGUAGCUGGUCUGAGAGGACGAUCAGCCACACUGGCACUGAAACACGGGCCAGACUCCUACGG